rnacentral:rRNA from 1 species
GUGGGGAAUAUUGGGCAAUGGGGGCAACCCUGACCCAGCGACGCCGCGUGGGGGAAGACGGCCUUCGGGUUGUAAACCUCUUUUGUACGGGAAGAAGGAAGUGACGGUACUGUACGAAUAAGUCCCGGCUAACUACGUGCCAGCAGCCGCGGUAAUACGUAGGGGACGAGCGUUGUCCGGAAUUACUGGGCGUAAAGGGCGCGCAGGCUGUGCUGCAAGUCAGCUGGUAAAUGUCUGGGCUUAACCCGGGCAUGCGGUUGAGACUGCGGUGCUGGAGUGCUGUAGAGGCAAGUGGAAUUCCCAGUGUAGCGGUGAAAUGCGUAGAUAUUGGGAAGAACACCGGUGGCGAAGGCGACUUGCUGGGCAGCAACUGACGCUGAGGCGCGAAAGCCAGGGGAGCAAACGGGAUUAGAUACCCUUGUAAUCC